rnacentral:rRNA from 1 species
UACGUAGGGGGCUAGCAUUGUCCGGAAUCAUUGGGCGUAAAGAGCGUGUAGGCGGCCCGGUAAGUCCGCUGUGAAAGUCGGGGGCUCAACCCUCGAAUGCCGGUGGAUACUGUCGGGCUAGAGUGCGGAAGAGGCGAGUGGAAUUCCUGGUGUAGCGGUGAAAUGCGCAGAUAUCAGGAGGAACACCGAUUGCGAAGGCAGCUCGCUGGGACGUUACUGACGCUGAGACGCGAAAGCGUGGGUAGCAAACAGG